UCUACGGGAGGCAGCAGUGAGGAAUAUUGGUCAAUGGGCGAGAGCCUGAACCAGCCAAGUCGCGUGAGGGAGUACUGCCCUAUGGGUUGUAAACCUCUUUUGUCGGGGAGCAAAAGCCGGACGUGUCCGGCUGUGAGAGUACCCGAAGAAAAAGCAUCGGCUAACUCCGUGCCAGCAGCCGCGGUAAUACGUAGGGGGCAAGCGUUAUCCGGAUUUACUGGGUGGAAAGGGAGCGUAGACGGCAAUACAAGUCGGAAGUGAAAUACCCGGGCUCAACCUGGGAACUGCUUGGGAAACUGUAGGGCUGGAGUGCUGGAGAGGUAAGCGGAAUUCCUAGUGUAGCGGUGAAAUGCGUAGAUAUUAGGAGGAACACCAGUGGCGAAGGCGGCUUACUGGACAGUAACUGACGUUGAGGCUCGAAAGCGUGGGGAGCAAACAGGAUUAGAUACCCUAGUAGUC
rnacentral:rRNA from 1 species